rnacentral:rRNA from 1 species
UGCGAGUCAUUGUAGCAAUACAAGGCAGACGGCUCAGUAACGCGUAGUCAACCUAACCUAUGGACGGGAAUAACCUCGGGAAACUGAGAAUAAUACCCGAUAGAACAUUAUGCCUGGAAUGGUUUAUGUUUCAAAUGAUUUAUCGCCGUAGGAUGGGACUGCGGCCUAUCAGCUUGUUGGUGAGGUAAUGGCCCACCAAGACUAUUACAGGUACGGGCUCUGAGAGGAGUAGCCCGGAGAUGGGUACUGAGACACGGACCCAGGCCCUAUGGGGCGCAGCAGGCGAGAAAACUUUGCAAUGUGUGAAAGCACGACAAGGUUAAUCCGAGUGAUUUGUGCUAAACGAAUCUUUUGUUAGUCCUAGAAACACUAACGAAUAAGGGGUGGGCAAGUUCUGGUGUCAGCCGCCGCGGUAAAACCAGCACCUCAAGUGGUCAGGAUGAUUAUUGGGCCUAAAGCAUCCGUAGCCGGCUCUGUAAGUUUUCGGUUAAAUCUGUACGCUUAACGUACAGGCUGCCGGGAAUACUGCAUAGCUAGGAAGUGGGAGAGGUAGACGGUACUCGGUAGGAAGGGGUAAAAUCCUUUGAUCUAUUGAUGACCACCUGUGGCGAAGGCGGUCUACCAGAACACGUUCGACGGUGAGGGAUGAAAGCUGGGGGAGCAAACCGGAUUAGAUACCCGGGUAGUCCCAGCUGUAAACUAUGCAAACUCAGUGAUGCAUUGGCUUGUGGCCAAUGCAGUGCUGCAGGGAAAGCCGUUAAGUUUGCCGCCUGGGAAGUACGUACGCAAGUAUGAAACUUAA